GGCUCACAGGGGCAUUUUCGUCAUUUUUCUUCAAAAAUACCGAAAACCCGCCAAAAACAUGGUGUAAAAGCUAAAUAUGUUCAUACAUACUUUAAAUUAAACAACUAAAGUAUAAAAUUACUUUUACAAUGACACGUGGGCCCCCAACUAACCAAUAAGAUGCAGGUCUGUGAACCUACAAUUUUGUCGAUGCAAGGCUAACUGAAGUCCUUGAUGCAAUCGGCUAUCUACCGGUUAUCCUGAGCUUGAAAUGUAGGGAUUUGAGGGUGGUGAGAUUAUAAAAUCCCAGUAAGUAAACAGACACCAUCUAAACUAUCUAAAGGCGAGUAAAUGGAGACGAAUUAAAAUAUUUUUUUUCCAAUAUAUGUUUCAUAACAUGAAUAUUCAGUUUACUCAAUUAAUCAACAUGGCUUAUAUAUGUCACAAAACUUGGCUCUUGACAAAAUCAUUCUCGCGGGUACCUUUGUCAAGAUAUCCCACUGAGAUCGCCAAGGCUGUUAAAAAUUCAUAUAUCACAUAAAACACAUUUUUCAUUGAGCAUCACAGCCGUUCCUUGGCGUUGGUUGAGUCUCACUCUCACUUGGUGGUUAACGAGAAGUGCACUCAAAAAGCCCACCUCAGGAGAUACCCUACGCGCCUCUACGACCGAGGUGAGAAUAUAAAGGAGUUUACCGUGCCCCUCUAAUAAGCUGGUCCACGGAACCCCCCACCACUGCAGUAGCUAAUCUUUAAUCCACCAAUUGAUCAAAUCUCAAGGGCAUAGCAUGGUAAUUACAUUACUAACCAAUUUAUCAAAGCAAAACAGACAGUUCAUAUUUUUCAACACAAGUAUAAAUUCAAUCAAUCAUGCCAAUUUAUCACAAGCCAUUUAAUAUAAAACCAUAAAUUUACAACACAAGCAGGCAGUCUCCAAUUACUCUAUUUUCAAAAUCAGUAUUCAAUUUUUCAGAAAAUUUAUAAAAUCAUAAUUUCUCCUAAAACAUAGCAAUUUAUCAUUUAAACCCAUUUUCCAUAAAAUCACACAAUUGUAUAAAACUACUCUAGAUAAUUAAGACGAUAAUAAGUUCACUCACUAUUCUAGGAGUCGAUAUACUCCCAACCCUAGUCUUCAAGCACAAUCCUUGUACUUUUACCAGUGUAAUUUGCUCACUACCUUUGAUUGCUUGAUUCCUUGAAAUCCCACACUUUUUCUUCAAUUUUCCCACCUAGGUUUUUGUUCUUUCUUUGUUCUUCUUCACUUCAUGUGGUGGCCGGCCAAAAUGAAGAAAUAAGCUGAUUUUUG
rnacentral:lncRNA from 1 species